rnacentral:rRNA from 1 species
UACGGGGGGGGCAAGCGUUGUUCGGAAUUACUGGGCGUAAAGGGCUCGUAGGCGGCCAACUAAGUCAGACGUGAAAUCCCUCGGCUUAACCGGGGAACUGCAUCUGAUACUGGAUGGCUUGAGUUCGGGAGAGGGAUGCGGAAUUCCAGGUGUAGCGGUGAAAUGCGUAGAUAUCUGGAGGAACACCGGUGGCGAAGGCGGCAUCCUGGACCGGCAUUGACGCUGAGGAGCGAAAGCCAGGGGAGCAAACGGG